rnacentral:piRNA from 1 species
GACCCGUCUUCCAUUCUUCCGGGAACCU